rnacentral:lncRNA from 1 species
CGGAGAACCUAGCCUGCUAAGCAGAUUUUCAUUGUAAAUCUGUCUGGUUUCCUGCCAGGUCACCUGCAUGGCUCCUUGGCUGCUUGCCAGUGCUUGCAGCUCUAAGGUAGCCACACCAGAACGCCUGCCCUGAUCUGAGACCUCGGCUCCCUGCAUUUACAUCUGUGUAGGAAGAGCCCUGGGCACAGGGACCCCUCCCAGGCAGAACCCCAGCUUCCCUGCAGGCUCUGAGGCAGCUUGGGUGGAUUUCCAUCCUCUGAAAAGUUUAGGGGAAAGGGAAAAAAAAGUUGUUCUGAAACUGAAUGGGAACUGUUUCUGCAAUGUUGAUGCUUCCUGCAGACCACGAACUCUGAAUUUGGCAGCUCUCAUGUGCCAGUAGAUAGAAGCAAGGGCAGAUGUCAAAUGGCAGGCUGUGCCUACCAUCAGCUGUGCUCCACGUUAUGUCUCCUGUCUUGACUACGCUGUGGUCUUCUCCGAGCUGAGAAAAGACAGUGACAAUGGAGAAAGGAAAGCCCUGAACAAGCGUUUCUGGCAUGAGGAAGAACCAGCUUCAGCGUCUCACCCUGCCACGUGUAGAACCUCGUGUUUCCUGUACUUGCUGGCACACUUGACUGCAGCCCUUCCUUCUCCAACAUGUCUCUGAGAUGCUGUCCCCAAGCAUGCUGGCAUGUUUGCACGAAACAUGUAUGAUCCAUCGGCCCAAUUUCCAUCUGCUACAGGAGUACUUUCUGUCUCUGAGAAUCCAGCCUGCCCAUGGAGAUAGGCUCUCUCGCAGAGUGCAGUGGGUUUUUGCAUGCUAAUCUACCUUGAGCAGAGUAUUAAGCAACAGAGGGCGCACAGGGUCGGUGAGCUGCAGCAUUUGUGUUGUAUUUGAAAAUACAUAUCUUCAGUCUGUUGGCCAGAUACCAAAACUUGUCCAAAAAUACAACCAAAAGACUUACUUAGGCUUUCAGAGUCUUAGUUACUUUGUUUGGUUUACAUAGUCCAAAAAAACAUACAUCAACAUAAGAGCAAAUGUCAGUCUGUACUUCUGUGCAAGCUCUUUGUGGACACCCUAAAGAGCCAAACUAGCCCAAGGAGUUGGGGCAGCAUUUCCUAACCCCAGUGUGUCCUCCGCUUGCUCUCUGAUGGAACCGUGGGAUGUGCUGGGGAGGAAGGAGAGCUUCUGUCAUCUCUUGAAAGCAACAACACACAUGCUCUGCUGUCUUCCCCAAGACUUUUCCCUAAAAAAAAAAGUACUUCUAUCGUGGUACACUUUGAUUCUUUAAUUUCCCAACGUUUUUUAAAAGGAAAGCAAAUAUUUCCUUGAAACAUUUUUAAUGGAACAGAUGUGAAUUUAUCUAAAAACAUUUUGGUGGCAAAUGUUAGACUUGUGUUACCAUGAAAUGCUUUUAAUAUGAAAGAGAUCACAGCAGUUAAAUUUUUUUAGGGCAUAAAUUUAACUGUAAAUGUAAUAAAGAAUUAAAUAGUACCCUACA